AUUUAUUUAAUAUAAAAAGUAUAUUUGAUUUCCAAUCAAAAAGUCUAAAAGUUAGAAUAAAUA
rnacentral:tRNA from 1 species